UCCGGGUUUCGCCCGGCAGUCUCCCUAGAACAUUCAACUAAGGACUAACACCAGUCGUUCGAGCCCAGGUAAGGUUUUUCGCGUAGCGUCGAAUUAAACCACAUGCUCCACCGCUUGUGCGGGUCCCCGUCAAUUCCUUUGAGUUUUAACCUUGCGGCCGUACUCCCCAGGCGGGACACUUAAUGCGUUAGCGUCGGCACGGAAGGGGUUGAUACCUCCCACACCUAGUGUCCAUCGUUUACAGCUAGGACUAC
rnacentral:misc_RNA from 1 species